GUCUACAACCAUACCACCCUGAACUCGCCUGAUCUUGUCUGAUCUCGGAAGCUAAGCAGGGUUGGGCCUGGUUAGUUUUUGAAU
rnacentral:rRNA from 1 species